GAAGGUCUUGGUGGGAAGACCUGUCCCUGGCAUCCAGCAGCCCUGGGUUUGAAUCCCAGCUCCUUCACUCCUGGCUGUGACCCUUCUCCAAACUUCAUUCCCCUCCUCCUGGAGGGGGCGGGGCAGGAAACUAUUAAAAUCCCCGCCCACCACUCAGGGUUUCUGCUAGUCCAGAAGGUUCAGGUCUUCACUGGGGAACAAGAGGUGACUGUUGUUCUCUUCUUGAUCACAGAGCCAGCCCCUGGGCAACAAAGUGGAGAUGGAGAUCGUAAGCAUGUUGGAAAAAAAUGCAACGCUUCUCAAGUUCGGCUACCACUUCACCCAGCAGGGGCCCCGGCUGCGGGCAUCCAACGCAAUGAUGAACAACAACGACCUCGUGAGGAAGAGAAGGCUGGCAGACUUGACCGGGCCCAUCAUUCCCAAGUGCCGGAGUGGCAUCUAGUGUGUGCGGGUGCUGACCACGCCUUUGAACUGGACGUGUCCUACUGAUAAGCUGUGCUCUGCAGUGGAAACCGGAAGGCAAAGUGCCGGCACAGACCCUGCUGUGGUUCAGUUCUUUAUGCACUAAGGUUUUAGGUUAGCUAGUGGUUGUAGUUGAAACUUUUAUAAACUAUGGUUAAUGUGAAGUUUUUCUUUAGUCACAGAAGUUCAGUCUGGUUAUUAUUUAAAAACUAAGAAGCCCCUGAACCAGCAGAUCUUACUGAAGACGAUAUUAUAGCAGCAGUGACUUACCCCCUGGAGCCCCGUUUGGGUGGCCUUGCUGUGUGGUGUUUCAGGUGCAUUUAAAAUACGAGACAUGAAAAAACAGCACCCUCUUCCAUGUGGUUUAAAAGCGUUGUAAGAUACUUUAUUACAAAUUUGAUCUUAGCUCUCUAGAAAACGAGACAGAUCAACAUUCUUUAUUAACACUCCUUUAAAUUUUAAACCUCAAGAUUAAGGUUGCCAAACUGAUUUUUGGAUCAAGAACACAAUUUUUUUCCCCCCCUCAAGAAAGAAAGACUGAAGCGACAAAGCUCUGCCAGGAAUCAAAGAACAUAAGAUUCCUUAUACUGGAUACAAGGAAAUAAUACAAAAAGCCAAUGGUGGAAUUUCAAAUUUUUAAAACUGUCCUUUUUUUAUUCUUUUUAAAAAACCUAUUCCAGACAACAAACAUUUCCCUAUGUUCUUUAUGAACACCUGGGAUUUACUUACAAUUUGAUAC
rnacentral:lncRNA from 1 species